rnacentral:misc_RNA from 1 species
GAUGAAGAACGUAGCGAAAUGCGAUAAGUAAUGUGAAUUGCAGAAUUCAGUGAAUCAUCGAAUCUUUGAACGCACAUUGCGCCCGCCAGUAUUCUGGCGGGCAUGCCUGUUCGAGCGUCAUUUCAACCAUCAAGCCCCAGGCUUGUGUUGGGGACCUGCGGCUGCCGCAGGCCCUGAAAACCAGUGGCGGGCUCGCUGUCACACCGGGCGUAGUAGAUUUUAUCUCGCUCAGGGCGUGCUGCGGGUUCCGGCCGUUAAAAAGCCUUUUUUACCCAAGGUUGACCUCGGAUCAGGUAGGAAUACCCGCUGAACUUAAGAAUAUCAAUAAGCGGAGGA